rnacentral:tRNA from 2 species
CGUUGGUGCGGAAGGCGGGUCGUGGGCAGGUUGGAGCCUUGCAGAUCCGCCGUUCCGGAAGCGGCGUCCAGCGC